rnacentral:lncRNA from 1 species
UAUUCCUCAUUGUUCAUAGCCUCUCUCAAAACAGCUAUUUAAGAAGAAAGCAGAUAAGUUGAUUAAAGUCCAGAAGAAGGCAACUAGGAUAAUGAAGAGUCUUGAGUCUGAGUCACGUGAGGAUUGUUAAAGGAUCUUGGGAUAGUUAACUUGGGGAAGAGAAGACUCAGCUCAUGUUACAGAUGAGGAAAUAAGACAAAGAGGACUAAGUGACCUGCCCGGGAUCAUAGAGCCAACAAGUGUUUGAGG